UAAAGAGAAUUUGGAGCAGUUCACCAAACAAACCAUAGCUAUCGCGCAAGUUUUAUUCAAAUUA